ACUACACUCUUUCACUACACGCCGCUCGUCCCGUUCAGAGACGUAGGAGGACUCGCAGGUCCAUUCCACAGACGGAGGAGAGUUGUCCGACGCAGACGCUAGGCAACGCUAAUAAACAUGCAUUUUUAGGGCCCGGACAAUUUUUUGACAAUGCCACGCAGACGCAGACACGCCGCUCGCCCCGUUCAGAGACGUAGGAGGACUCGCAGGUCCAUUCCACAGACGGAGGAGAGUUGUCCGACGCAGACGCUAGGCAACGCUAAUAAACAUGCAUUUUUAGGGCCCGGACAAUUUUUUGACAAUGCCACGCAGACGCAGACACGCCGCUCGCCCCGUUCAGAGACGUAGGAGGACUCGCAGGUCUACGCCUAGUGAUUUCUCUGCUUCUUUUGACUCUCGCUCCUUUGUUGAAUGUGAUGAUGUUGAUUAAUUUGUGCAAAGUUUCAACAACCACUGUCUGUCGGUAUUGGAUAUGGUAGCGCCUGUUAAAAUGAUUUCAGGGUCACAGAAAAAGGCCCUCCCAUGGAUAAAUGAUAACAUUUGUAGUCUUAGGAGAAAAUGUCGGAAGACAGAGCGUCUGUGGAAAGCC